UAUUUGUUCGUUUUUGAUAUCAAGAAAUAUCAUUCACAUUGCCCCUGUAUUGAUUCAAAAAACGUAGUACUAGCUAUCCAUAAAGUUGCAUAACAUGCAUAUGUGUUUAGCUUCUUAGUUAUUUGUCGUAUUACAACCAUGUACAUGCAGUGUUUCAUUAGCUCUAGGCCUCCGGCAAUAACCAUGUGCCAAUAAAUGUUCGUACUUCAUUGAGGUCAAUUUUAUGAUUUAUAUGAUUUUCUGAUUAAGGAUAGUUGACAAAAGCUGAUGGGAGGAAGAUUCAAACUAUUUUCUUGCCUAUGUGGAAGGUUUUCCUAAUCGUCACUUCAGGGGAAUUAUAUCAUUACUUGCAACAGUUCACAAGGGCACCAUAAGCCAGAUUUGCUAAGGACUUGGAAAGGUAAAAAGGUGAGUAUGAAAGAUGAAAAAGGGUCUCUAUUGGAAUUCCAAGCUAUCUCUUAUUUGGUUGGUGGUUCCAAGUCCACACAUGGCAUGUGGAUGAUGAUGCCUCUUGGCCUUCAACCCCUUUGGCUUUGCAUAUGAUAAGUCAAGUAAGUCACCUAAAAGUAGAUCUCUUAACUUUCUAAUUCUUUUCCUUUUCUCGUACAAUUAAUGGCUGGAUCAUAUUGCUGAACAUUUUAAUAAUUAUCUCUUCUAUAUUAUCAUCAUCAUCACUUUAUUUGAAAUUAUUAUUAAAUAUAAUUUUAAUGCUAAUAAAAAAUAGUGAAUUUCGUACAAAUUUUAAAUUUCAAGAUUAAAUGUCAAGUAUAAAUUUUGAAGUCUAAAGACCAAAUUAAAACACGACUUCAAUUUAAAUAUAUCUACAAUUUAUAUUGGCCCUUUAAAUAUUUCUGCAUGACCAUUGUCAAUUUUCAUAAUUAGGCGUGCAAUUUAGAAUAGUCUGUAGUCAAACCUACUUAUCUUCAAGAGAAGAGGUUUGAGAAACAGAAAAAACAAAGUUCAAAUUUUAUUGGUUGCAACUUCUGAAGUCGGUUUCAACUUUUUGCUCCUCUCUCGUAUAUUUGAGCCAUAUAACAUCCAUGCUUCUUUUUAAAUUUCUUAUUUUUUCCAUUUUUGUUCUUUACUUUUCUUUCUUUUUUUUUUUUAGUCUUUUUGGAUUUUUAAAAUAACUUUUUACUUUAUUUUAUUUUAGUUUAAACAAAUUAAUGGUGUAGCUUUAAGUAAAGAUACUAAACUUUAUUUUACUUAAGUUUCGUUGAACUAUGAUUUUUUUUCUUUUCCUUUUUGAAGUUAAAUACUUUUUUAGUAUGUAUUUUAAUAUGAGUAAUUUCUUUUCUCUUAAAAUUAGAGGUUCAAAUCUUCCUACUUUUUUAUUGUGUUAUUUGUUUGGAGAGAUUAGAUAACUCGAUGCUUUUAUUUUUUAAAUGUGUUUUGAAGGAAGAAUUUCUUCGAAUGAUUGCACAUUUGAAAUAGUUGUUCAUAAGUCCAUAAAUUCAAUUCUAUAUAUACAUAUAUAUAAAAGAAAUAAUUAAAAUAAUUAAAAAAAAGAAUUAUUAGAAAAACCAAACGAAGGAAAAAUGACUCCACCAUACACUUUUCAAGCAUUUAACUUUCAAUUAUUGCACAUUUGAAAUUAUUGCUUAAAAGUCCAUCAUUUUGAAAUACACAAAUACAUCAAUUCUAGAAAAAGAAGAAGAAGAAGAAGAAAUUAUUAGAAAAACCAAACGAAGGAAAUAAUAUAACGCCAACAAAUGCUUUUCAACCACUCAAAAUUUAUAAUUAUCCCAUACUUAAAAUUACAAUUCAAGUCCAUAAUUUAAAAAUUGAACAGGACUUAUUUAUUAUUAGAAUAGAACAAUUAUGGUUGACGUGAUAAAAUUGUACAAAUUUUAGACCUAAAAUAAUGCAAUUUGAGAAUUGGGCAACCUGGUGUGAGUUGAUUGAUUGAUUCCACUAAAAUUGGGGACAAUAUCUCAUAAUCUCAAUCGCACUAAAAACAAUUUAGUGCUUUUUAAAUAUUCAAUAAAAACAUAAGAAAUUAAAUUAAACAGUUGUUGCCCCUAAAGUAAUCAGUCAAACCCUGAAAAUGAAAGCCAAAAAGAUAUCCUUUGGCUUCUUUUUAUAUAUAUAUAUAUAAGAAAAUAAACAUACCUUUAUUUCCAAAAAAGAAAAAAGAAAAGAAAAGAAAGAGAUACGAUUAAACGUCCCAUCCAAAAUGCGUGAUCUAUAAGUCCACGUGGAAGGACCACGUGCCAAACGGGCAAUCCUUUGGCCACGUGUCGUUGUAUUUGCGGUAAGUAUUUACAACCAAUCAUCCAAUUUUAGCUGUCACCUAAUAACUUGUUCCUUCUAAUCCUGAAACGUGGCAAGAGAAUGACGGGCAAGCUGGCUACCAUUUUCUUUUUCUUUUUGGACCUUUUUUUCCAGUUUUCAUAUACCAAAUAUCUUCUUAAAUUAGAAAAUUUUUCAAAAAUCACAAAUUUUACAAAAUAUUUAUA